rnacentral:rRNA from 1 species
CAGACCUCUGAUCAGGGAAGACUACCCGCUGAGUUUAAGCAUAUCACUAAGCGGAGGAGA